rnacentral:rRNA from 1 species
UACGGAGGGUGCAAGCGUUAUCCGGAUUUACUGGGUUUAAAGGGUGCGUAGGUGGGCAGGUAAGUCAGUGGUGAAAUCUCCGGGCUUAACCCGGAAACUGCCAUUGAUACUAUCUGUCUUGAAUAUCCUGGAGGUGAGCGGAAUAUGUCAUGUAGCGGUGAAAUGCUUAGAUAUGACAUAGAACACCGAUAGCGAAGGCAGCUUGCUACACAAUCAUUGACACUGAGGCACGAAAGCGUGGGGAUCAAACAGG